rnacentral:rRNA from 1 species
CGCUCUCUUCGGAGAGAGCGGCGGACGGGUGAGUAACGCGUGGGAACGUACCUUCUUCUGGGGAAUAGCCACUGGAAACGGUGAUUAAUGCCCCAUACGCCCUUCGGGGGAAAGAUUUAUCGGAGGGAGAUCGGCCCGCGUCUGAUUAGAUAGUUGGUGGGGUAACGGCCUACCAAGUCGACGAUCAGUACCUGGUAUGAGAGGAUGAUCAGGCACACUGGGACUGAGACACGGCCCAG